rnacentral:rRNA from 1 species
CCUACGGGAGGCAGCAGUGGGGAAUUUUGCGCAAUGCUCGUAAGAGUGACGCAGCGACGCCGCGUGAAUGACGAAGGCCUUCGGGUCGUAAAGUUCUUUCGACAGGGAAGAAAAUGCCUAUAAGUAACUGUGUAUGUAUUUACGGUCCCUGUAUAAGCAGCCCCGGCUAACUCCGUGCCAGCAGCCGCGGUAAUACGGAGGGGGCGUGCGUUGUUCGGAGGGACUGGGCGUAAAGAGCACGUAGGCGGUGUUGUAAGUCAUUAGUCAAAGACUAGAGCUCAACUUUAGUAAGGCUAGUGAUACUAUAAUACUAGAGUAUCAGAGAGGAUUGCAGAAUUCCUGGUGUAGCGGUGAAAUGCGUAGAUAUCAGGAGGAAUACCGUUAGCGAAGGCGGCAAUCUGGCUGGAAACUGACGCUGAGGUGCGAAAGCGUGGGUAGCAAACAGGAUUAGAUACCCGAGUAGUC